UGGGGAAUCUUGCGCAAUGCGCGAAAGCGUGACGCAGCAACGCCGCGUGGGGGAAGACGGCCUUCGGGUUGUAAACCCCUUUCAGGAGGGACGAAGGUUCACCGGUUAAUAGCCGUGUGGAUUGACGGUACCUCCACAAGAAGGUCCGGCUAACUACGUGCCAGCAGCCGCGGUAAUACGUAGGGACCAAGCGUUGUCCGGAAUCAUUGGGCGUAAAGCGCGCGUAGGUGGCCAUUUAAGUCCGCUGUGAAAGUCAGAGGCUCAACCUUUGAAAGCCGGUGGAUACUGGAUGGCUAGAGUACGGAAGAGGCGAGUGGAAUUCCUGGUGUAGCGGUGGAAUGCGCAGAUAUCAGGAGGAACACCAAUAGCGAAGGCAGCUCGCUGGGACGUUACUGACACUAAGGCGCGAAAGCGUGGGGAGCGAACAG
rnacentral:rRNA from 1 species